UACGAAGGGAGCUAGCGUUGUUCGGAAUCACUGGGCGUAAAGCGCACGUAGGCGGAUGUGCCAGUCAGAGGUGAAAUCCCGGGGCUCAACUUCGGAACUGCCUUUGAUACAGCACGUCUUGAGUCCGAUAGAGGUGGGUGGAAUUCCUAGUGUAGAGGUGAAAUUCGUAGAUAUUGGGAAGAACACCGGUGGCGAAGGCGGCUCACUGGCUCAUUACUGACGCUCAGGCGCGAUAGCGUGGGGAUCAAACAGG
rnacentral:rRNA from 1 species